GCCUGGAUGGCUCAGUGGUUUGAGUGUCAGACUUUGGCUCAGGUCAUGAUAUCACUGUUCAUGAGUUCAAGCCCCAUACCAGGCU
rnacentral:tRNA from 1 species